rnacentral:rRNA from 1 species
UCCUACGGGAGGCAGCAGUAGGGAAUCUUCCGCAAUGGGCGAAAGCCUGAUGGAGCAACGCCGCGUGGGUGAAGAAGGUCUUCGGAUCGUAAAACCCUGUUGUUAGAGAAGAAAGUGCGUGAGAGCAACUGUUCACGUUUCGAUGGCAUCUAACCAGAAAGCCACGGCUAACUACGUGCCAGCAGCGGCGGUAAUACGUAGGUGGCAAGCGUUAUCCGGAUUUAUUGGUCGUAAAGGGAACGCAGGCGGUCU